UACGUAGGGUGCAAGCGUUGUCCGGAAUUAUUGGGCGUAAAGAGCUCGUAGGCGGUCUGUCGCGUCUGCUGUGAAAACUCGGGGCUUAACCCCGGGCCUGCAGUGGGUACGGGCAGACUAGAGUGCGGUAGGGGAGACUGGAAUUCCUGGUGUAGCGGUGAAAUGCGUAGAUAUCAGGAGGAACACCUGCGGUGUAGACGGCUUACUGGACGGUAACUGACGCUGAGGCACGAAAGCGUGGGUAGCAAACAGG
rnacentral:rRNA from 1 species